AGGACGAACGCUUGCGGCGUGCCUAAGAAAUGCAAGUCGAGCGGAAGUAGCAAUACUUUAGCGGCGAACGGUCGCGUAACACGUAGCCAACCUGCCCAGAAGACCGGGACAACACUCCGAAAGGGGUGCUAAUACCGGAUGUGCCCAUUUUGCCACAUGGCUUAAUGAGUAAAUCAUUUAUGGCUUCUGGAGGGGGCUGCGGCCUAUCAGCUAGAUGGUGGGGUAAUGGCCUACCAUGGCGUCGACGGGUAGCUGGUCUGAGAGGAUGGUCAGCCGGACUGGGACUGAGAUACGGCCCAGACUCCUACGGGGGCAGCAAUUAGGAAUCUUGCGCAAUGGGGGCAACCCUGACGCAGCGACGCCGCGUGGAGGAUGACGGCCUUCGGGUUGUAACUCCUUUAUCGGGAAGAAACAAUGACGGUACCCGAUGAAUAAGCCCCGGCUAACUCCGCGCCAGCAGCCGC
rnacentral:rRNA from 1 species